AUUUUUUUUUUUUAUCCUUAACUGAAAUUUGUAAUUUCUUUUUAAUUUUUUUUUUCUUUUGUUAGUUCACUUUAUUUUUUUCUCUACAGAUUUACCCACAUCUACUCUGACUGUGACUCCAGACAGUCCUGUAUUCACUGGAGAGACGGUCAAUCUGACGUGUGUGAUAAACUCUAAUCACAGUGACUGGAGAUAUGAGUGGUAUAAAGGUACAAACAACAGUGUAAUGUUACAAACGUCUGAGCGUUACACCAUAGACAGAGACACUCUCACUAUCAGAGGAGUGAAUGAGUCUGAUCAGGAUCAGUUCUGGUGUAGAGGACAGAGAGAUGGACGACCAAACUCAUCACAGGAGAGUGAACGAAUAAAUCUGUCUGUUAAUGUCUCAGCAGCUUCAUCUUCUCUUCUGGUCACUGGUGUGGUUGUGGGAUUGAGCAAAUGAUUUAAUUGGUCUGAGGUUGCUAAGGGGGGAGUAGCAAUGCCUCAUUAUGAGACUGCAGAAAAAAGCAACGUGGCCUGACAUAUCCAAUCUUCUCAAUAACAGACUUGAUAAAUCUAUGAAAAACAAAUGCACAUUUAGAAAUACAGAUCUGAUCAUGUUCUCCAGUCUCAGCAGCUUCAUCUUCUCUUCUGGUCACUGGUGUGGUUGUGGGAUUGAGCAAAUGAUUUAAUUGGUCUGAGGUUGCUAAGGGGGAGUAGCAAUGCCUCAUUAUGAGACUGCAGAAAAAAGCAAUGUGGCCUGACAUAUCCAAUCUUCUCAAUAACAGACUUGAUAAAUCUAUGAAAAACAAAUGCACAUUUAGAAAUAAUGAUUCAUAACCCAUGUCUUCAUGUCCUCUGUGAGAUAAAUUGCUGAUUUUGCUAAACAAUACAAAUAAUAAUAAUUAUAUAUAUAUAUAUAUAUAUAUAUAUAUAUAUAAAACUAUUACUAUGUCUACACAGUUUUUAUUAGAGUCUGUGGAGUUCAGUCUCUGUCCGCUGAUUCAGUUUCAU
rnacentral:lncRNA from 1 species